CUACAGUGUGGUCUUAGUCUGAGUCAGACUAAAUUGCAAUCACAUUUUCUCUUUAGUAGUAAUGUACUUCAUUAGUUUUACAGCAUCUGAAACUGCAUUUUAAGAACAUGCACACUGCUUGGGUCUCCAUUCUCCCUAAACUGAGGUCUACUGGUAUGAAUCCUAAAGAAACGUUUUUGGCACUGUUUUCCCAGCCAUUUUUCUGUGGUAUAGUGAUGGAUUACCCUUUCUGUUGACUUGGGCAAAACUGGAGAAAAAAAAAGCAACCAGACAGACCUGUCCAUCCCCGUAGACUACCCAGACUUAAAUGCCAAAUUCAGCAAACAAGCCAUUCUGCGUACGUAGAACACACUAGACAGAACAUCCACCAACCAGGGAUCACCAAAUGGGCCACAGCGAAACAGGCUAAGAGACCUCUUUUCUGAUGUCUGACCAUCUGGGGUCCUUUUAUAAGAAAAACAUCAUUCCAGUGCUGGAAGGAGUAUUUCAACUUGCCCGUAUUGAAUCAGGAUAUACUGAAGCUAGAUACUAAGUGGCACAAGAUGAAAGCUCAACUCCUGCGUUAGACACUAAAGAUACAUGGCCUGAUAUGGUCUGGUGCGGUCUGGAGUCUGGCCUGACUGUGCGAUCACCAAAAAAAGGUUCCUUCUUUGCUGAGCUUAGCUGCAGGAUUUCUGCCAGAGCUGCAAGAAGAUGCUGCCAACUGCCCACUUGGCCCUUCCCACAAAGAGCAGCCAGUCCCACCUGAGUCUCAGGGCGUUCCACCCUUCAAAGAGCA
rnacentral:lncRNA from 1 species